UUAAAAUUGUUGUUAUUGAAAUUGCACAACUAAAUAUUAUAAUACUUUUGAACCUCUUACGGUUCAUGCAGAUAACUUUAAAUUAUUGUAAUUUAAAUUCGCCAAUAUUUGAAUACAUUUUGUCAAGUUUAAAAUGUGAUAAAUUAAGUUAAAAUGAUUGAAGAAAACCUCUUAAUCUAACCAAUGUCUAUGAAUUCAAAUAGAUAUGAUAGAAAACUAUUUGCCAUUCUGAUGAAUAAUUAUUGUGAUAACUUGUUCAAAUAAUUUCUAUUAUUUAAAAAUGUUAUUUAUCUAAAUGUUUUUAAAUAACUGUAAAGAUUAAUUUCAAUAAUUUUCAAUUAAAAAAAUUAUACUUUAGUGUUUAAGUGUUAUUCAAUAAAUAAACUUAAAAAUACUUGAAUUUCAUAGUUUUUGUAAUAACAAGCAAGGGUCUCUUACAAUAUAAAUUAAUGUAUCCUCAUUUGUAACAUUAGUUUUUUUGCUUACUCCCUUACUUAUUAUGACAAAAUUAAUGUGAUAUGUAUUAUUAUAAAAUAUUUGUACUGUGAUCAGUGUGCAAUAAAUAUUGAUUAUUUUCUUUUCACAUAUCUCAAGUUAUUUUCAUACAAUCAUCAUACGCCUUGCAUAUAAAUAUUAUGUAUACAGAGUAUAUCAGGAGGGUAUAACAUUUUAUUUAAAUUCUGAAUUGUAUUUAUAUAAACACAAUUCUAAAUUUACAAGAACUGAGGCCUAGAGUCUUUGGGCUCCGGUGCUCUGCUACCCAUAUCACCUUAUAGUUAUACCACUGGGUAUGGACCAAGAAUUUGCAGGGUUGACAGAUAUGCUGAGUAACGAGGAUGCUUUUUGAGUUUCUCUACAGUCAGAUUUAUGUUAAUAGGGUUCACAAGUUUGACAUACCAGUUGUUUUCCCUCUGUCGUUAAGUUACUAUGGUUAAUUCUUAAACUUUUUGUAGUCUGUAAAAGUGAAUUGCUGUUUGUUAAGUUGACACCAUGAGCGUUAUAAAGAUUUGAUGAUGUUGAAUUUUGAAUUUGUUGGCAUACUUAUUUUGUAUAAAUUCUUAAUGAUCUUUGAGUAGAUAUAUUUAUUACAGUAUCCAAUAAAAAUACAUUAAUAGGCUAAUUAAUUUAUAUUUCUGGAGAUUCUGUUUCAAUGUAUUGGGUUGGUCCAUUGAACUUAAAUUAAUAUUAAGUAUUAUUUUAUGAUAAAAAAUCUUUCUUUCUUAUUCGUGUAGGUGAAAAUCAAACUAAACGUAUGGAGUGUGAUACAUUCACAAGUAUGAAUUUUGUUUUUCUAUAAAUAUUAUCUGAAACAAAAAUGUGUUUUCCUUCAAUUGGGUUUUCUAUUUUAAGCUUAAUUUAUUAUUUUUUGUUUCCCUUGGUUGUGAUACAUAAUUAUUAAUGACAUAAUAAUAUAUUAUAUUGUAAUUGUUAAAACUAUAACAAAAAUUACUUAUGAAAAUUAAAUUAAACUAAAUUAAAUUUAGAGAAGUUUAACCUCUCUUCCCCGUGAUUGCCUAUGGCAGCAAUCAAAUUAAACAGUUCCAACUACCAAUUGUUACAAAAAACACAUUAAAAUAAUACAUUAUAUAAUUGUAUUAAUCAUUAAUGUUGUGGUUGAGGAGAGAAGCAGUCUAAAAAGUACCAUAUAUAUGUCAUUUUAUGUGCCUGUUGAAUAUUUUGUAUAUUUGGACAUUUUAUUAGUUUUCUAAUAUAUUUUAAAAACAAAUUAAAAUAACAUACAUGCUUAAUAGUAUGUUAUAUAUAAAUUGUAUUUAUACUUAAUCACUGUUUUCUAAUUUUAGGACUAUAUCGAAGAUAUGUUUGUCCAAACCAAUGUGGUCAUAGUUAUACAAGAAAAGAUAACCUAACGAGACAUAUGAAGACAAAAUGUGGUGUUUUAAAAUCAUUUUUGUGUGAGAUUUGUAUGAAAUCUUAUGCUCGACGUGAUGCACUUAAAAAUCAUUUAAAACUAAUACAUAAAUGUAAAUUAGAAUCGUCAAUUGAUAAUGACGUAUACAUACGAAUUGCGAUAUUACUGUCCACGAUCUUGUGGUCGAAGUUAUAGCAGAAAGAACAAUAUGAAGAGGCAUUUAACAUUUGAGUGUGGUGUUCCUAAACUAUUCAUGUGCUCAUAUUGUGGAAGGGAUUUUACUUAUAGAUCUAAUCUAAAAAUCCAUAUAUACUCUAUUCAUGGAAGAUAUGCAUCUAAUUAAAUAUUCAUAACCAUUAGCUAUUAUAUUUUUAUAUUUAUUUUAAUACAAUUAAAAAUAAAUUGGUUAUGACUUGAGUUAUUUUAUUUUAUAUUUUUAAAAUAUUAUUAUUUUAAUAUCACUAGUAGACCUCUAUUAGAUGAGUCAGUGCUUCAUUAUAACUACUUAAUCAUAGUACUUCAUUAGAAUUUAAUACAGAUGUAGUCUGUAUCUAUCAUACACUCAUAUCCAAAUCAAUUUUUUUUCCUCUUUUCUAUUUGUAGCCAAACUGUUAAAAUUAAGAAAAUAUCACAAAAAUGUUGACAGAAAUGAUAAUAUUGUUUCCAUAGUCUAGUUUUUCAAUAUUUAAAUUAUUAACAACAACAGUAUAACUUGGUUAAGCCGCUCUUAAGAGCGCCUUAAGUGGGAAAGCGUCGCGGAUUUAAAAAUAAACCUAGGUGGUUCAUAUAUCGACUUUGUAUAUUAAUUAAAAUAAAACAGGUUAAUUAAUUAGUAUUAUGAUGUUUUAAAAAUAUCAAAUAAUAUCAAAAAAUACAACAUACUUUUGUCACUUUUUUUGUUGUACUUAGAAAUAAAGAGUUUAUAUAUUUUGUUUGUAUAACAAUCUAAGUAUGUGCUUCAGAAAGGUAGUUUCAAUUACUAGAGUAAUUUAUCGUCAUCUGCUAAUCAAAAGAGUAUUAUCUCCAAUUAGACUAGAAAAACCAAGAGUCUUAAUAGGUGGUUUUUACAUUAACUAGUAUAGGAGAUUUUUUAUAACUGGCAAAAACAGCAUCUUAUGCAGGAAAGCGUCUUCAACGAGUUUUACUUUUUUAGUAUUGAUGUAAUUUAAAAUAAAAUUGGUUAUACAUAUACUUAUAACGUGUAAUUUAACAAAAACACAAUACAAGUUGUGAAGUAGGUAACAGCUCCGCUGUACAGAAGAUUUUGAGUGUACCUUGUAAUUAAGUAGGUAUUAAUGGAUGUGUUAAAUUUGAAAUCAAUGAUAAAUUUUGUAUAUAAUCUAAAACAAUUAUUGUUUUAACAAUGAUAUUAAAAUGUUGUUAUUAAAUGUUCUAAUUUGGUUUUAGUUUUUCCCGAUUAUUUUAAAAAGUACUGAAAAAUGUCUAUUCUUGGCCUACCAAAAUACAAACUAAAUCCAAUUUUCUACCAAAAACCUCCCUUGUCAUCAGGCAUACAAAAAAAAAAAUUCUAAAAUCAGUGUUUUCAAACAGGUGCUUAUUGAAAAUUUGGCAUGAUGUUUUCAACUCCUUAAGAGGACACCGUACUUGCAUGUGUUGUCUCCGUCUUACUACCACAUUAUAUAGCAAAGUGUAUGUUCACAAGCUUCAAUUUUGUGUUGUUCGCUUAAAUAUUAGAGUGAAUUGACCCAUUAUCAAAAUGAAAUGUUAGAACAUUUACGAUAUUUUAAUUUUUCAGUGAGAUUUGAAUAUCUAUAAUAUUAUUAAUAUUUUAAAAUGCUCAUAAUUCACUUAAAAUUAAAACAUGGUAAAAAACCAAUGAGAGAUAAAUAACAUAGAUAAUGUUUUUACAUUUGAGUUUGAUAAUAGGUCAACACAAAAUUGGAACUGCUGGACGUACAUUGUCACGUUAGUAAGACGGAGAUAACAUAUGUGGGUAUGGUGUCCUCUUAAUAUAUUUUAAAUAUUAUAUUAUUUAAAGGUAUUUAUUUAGUAUGAAAUUUUGGUUACAAAAUGAAGAAUGUUAAGAACAAUUUUUGCCAUAGUUUGUGUGUAUGUAGGUAUUAUAAACAAUCUUCUUUUUCUUUUUUAUUCAUGCUUUGAUCCUAACUAUAUAGGAGUUCUGUUUUCAGACCACUCAUUUAAUCAAAACUGCUAUUUUAACACCAUAUAAAAAUGCCUUCUCUUCUCACUGUACUUAUUUACAAACCAUCUCAUACAGAAAAUUGGUUUCAUCAUCGAUCUUUCCGGUAUAAACCCAAAUUCAUGCCUUAAAAUUGAUGUCUCACUCCUUAUUCUUUUAUUAAUAACUUUUUUCCAAAUCAUUAUACUAUGACUCAUACAAUUUAUGCCUUAAUAAUUUCCACACUUGUGUACAUCUCUCUUGUAAAAAUAUGGGUACCAAAAUAUUUUUCUUCCAUCCUAUGGCAUUUUCCUUGCCUAUAUCACCCAAAUGUUGUUUAGGAUUCCUCUUUAAAACUAUAGAACUUUCUUCAGUUCAGGGGUUACCAGUAACCAAUAAGCACUUCCACCUUACUAAAAUAAAAGCUAUUACUGUUAUUCGUUCUCAAAUUAUCGGUUUUUUACCGGUUUUUGUUAUAAAUCGGUUAUCGGUUUUAAGCUCUGCUUCAGUUACUGACUUCCUCACGAUCCCUUUGUGUUUCUUUUCAUAUCCUCAUCUACUAUCACAUUCACCCCAUUUCACAUAGUAGUCUUACCUGAGUAUAUUAUCUUAUACACUCUUCUCAAUUUACUUUGCUCUCUCUCCUUUCCACUUAGUUGCCCAACACAAAUAUUCCCAUACUCUCUUUUAUACUCCAUCUAAUCCCUCCUUCUACCUGUUAAUGUUACUACAUUCCACAUAUUUACUCUAACUUUGUACCUUUCUCCCACAAUUUGGUGAGGUUUCAAACUGUUUGUAUUGUAAAUAAUGAUAACAUAAUACGUUACCUACGCUUAAUUCAUGUUAAAAAUUGUGGUUUAUUUAAGCUUAUUAUUUAUUUUACUUACUGAUUUGUAAAAAUUAAUUAUUAUUUCUAUUUUUUUUUUUUUUUAAUUAAGUGUAAUAUAUUUUUUGUUAUUUAUUAGGUUUAAUAUUAAUGCCAACUUUCGAUCGGUUCUAUUGCCCACGAGGAUGUGGCCGAAGUUAUAAAAGAAAAGAUCACUGUUGGCGACAUAUAAAGUAUGAGUGUGGAGUACCAAGACAAUUCAAAUGUCCAUAUUGCUCAAGGAGUUUUGCGCAUAACAGUGCUUUAAAAAAACAUGUAGUAGUUGUUCAUAAAAUAAUACAUAAAGAUUUAGGAAAUCGGCGAUCUCGUAAAUCCGAAUAAACCUAGCCUUUAGCUUGAAUUUUUACAAACAAUUAUUUUAUUUGUAACAUGUAGGUACAGAUGUUUUAUAUAAUGUGAAAAAAUA